GCUGGAGACUUUCUUGCUGGACAUCCCUCCUUAGUGGAGGUCUUCCAAAGGCUAGAAACUGUCCAUCACACUGUAUGUGUAGUGAAGAUUCUCCUUGUAAGAAGUACGCUCAAAAAGAGUGCCCACAUCCAAGAAUUGGUGCUUAAACUCCAUAGAAAGGCAUGCCCAUCUACCUGCCCGGCUGCUCUCAGUUCCUUUGUCUCACAACUGGGCCUUGCUGCACCAAUGCCACAUUGAACUGCCAUCACCCACCACAGGUAUAGAUGGAUGUUUUGGGAUGCAGAGCCUGGCAAAGAGGACGCCAUCAUCCUGUGGAUUCAGAGCAUAUGCGUGGCCUCGUCAUUUCUGCUGUGCUUCUCCAUCAGCCAGAAGAUUUUACCAGUGUUAAAAGCUGUUUGUGAGUCUUUGGAUAUCUCUUCCUUGCCCUCUGGGGGCUGUUCCCUUUUUGAAGCACAGGCAGAGACCUGUUUUGGAAGACAUGCACGUCCACAUAUCUUUGUAUAUUCAAGGCCACGUUUGUUUGUGUCGAUUUGCUGCCAUGGUCACAUGCUUAUUUCUUCAUUUCCAACUGCAUUUAAUGCACUUCUAUAAGAAUGAAUAUCUGGACCAUGAACCCUCCUUUAUCAAAGCAUAUAUUUGUAGGCUCUGAUAUCUCUGAGUACACAGAUACCUGAUUAUGUAACAUGUUUGCAUUUAGGCUAUUUGUGUAGCUGUUGAGCAGCAAGAGGUACUGAAGCACCUUAACAGAGUGUCAAAUUUGCUGAAGUCUGAGAACCAUUUACGGCUUCAGAUAGCUACGCUUUGCUUCUCACUUGUGCACAGAGCAGAUAAAUAAGUUAUUGUGGUGUUCUCCAUCACCAGUCAAACAGAAAUUAUUCUGCCAUUACACAGUUUUAGCAAUAAGAUAUACGCAUCAUUACUGGCUUACUAACACAAAUGAGAAGGAUAAAUGUGAACAACUAUGAGUCUGAUUCUCUCUCCUCUGCUUAUCCUCUAGUCUGUGCACUUAGCCUUAAGAAAAAUGGAUAUAAAAUUGUUCGUGCCCACUUUGCAUAAGAUACACAAUGGUGUGUGUGUAGCAGGGAAAAUGUAUGGAAGUAUGUCUGUCUUCACCCAUGUGAUUGACACAAAACAAAUACUGCCUUUGAAAAGCUUCAGUCACUUUUUUUUUUUUUUUUUGGCUUAAAAACAUUCCUUAAAUGCUAAAAGAGCUUGAAAUUUAUAAAUAGCUUUUGCUCUCUUCAGCAAGGAAAAGAUUUCUCUUAACUUUUGAUUAUGUUUGACCAUGGAGAAUCAACAAUGCAGGAAGAUUUUCAACAAAGGUAUUUUCUCUCAUGCCAUGCUCCUCACGGACUUUCCCUAUUCCUACUCACUCAACCUCAAAGGAAUAAUUAGUUGCUAAAAAAUGUGUUUCAUUUUGGCUGGGAGAAGACAGAGCAUGUUUUUAAUUAAGGAAGUGCUAUUAAAAUAAACUUUUCUAGGAAAAAUGUGCACAGGGUAAUAUAUAACAUAAUUAGAAAA
rnacentral:lncRNA from 1 species